GGUGGCUCAGCGGUAGAGCGCUUGCCUUGAAUGCAUGAGGCCCUGGGUUCGAUUCCUCAGUACCA
rnacentral:tRNA from 1 species